GAGCUCUCUUCAGCUGCUGAUGGCCGGGACAGCAGGACUCACUGUGGAUCUUUAUUUCUUCAGGACUUUUUCUUAAUGUAGAUUCAGCAGGAUUUUAUAAACAUUCUGGAUCAUUCUGCAUUUCUCCUCUUCUCACAGAUUCAAAUGGAGUGUAUAAAGGAAAAAACACAUAGAAAACUGCCAUCAGAAACCACAGACAAGCAAAAACCAACAGGACAAAGAUAGAAAAAUGGAGGACAGAAAUGAAACACAGACCACUGGAUCUCAAGAGAAAAGCAGACAGAGACUUGAUAGAUGUGACAGUAUGAAGAUGUUAAAGCCAUUCUUCUCUCGUGAUCCAGACGGGCAGGUAAAGUUUCAUUCUGAUGUCAAAAGUGCUUCAGCAUGUUCUCAAGAACACACAACAUCACUGAGACACCAGCAGCAGAAGACCUGAUCAUCAUCAUCAUCAUCUUCAUCAUCACAGACUCCAUCACUCAGAAUACAGUCUCUUCAGCUCCAGGACUGUUUUCAGACUCAUCUGAUCACAAACUAACAGACCAAUGAACCGUUUCUUUCUCAGAUCUGUAUCUGAGAACCGUUUUAUUGAUCUGGAGCUGCACUUUAUGUGAUCAUUUUCACAUCUGCAUCACACAGAGCUUCUUUUUUUCCUUUGACAAAAUAUGAGUUUCAGUUUGUGCUGCCUCAUAUUUCAUGCAUUUUUUAUUUACUAUUUGUGUUUUUGUAUUUCUGUAUAUUGUGAUUAAUUUAAGAGAUUCUAUCCACCUUAUUUAAUUUUAACAGAAAUGCAGGUGUGACUGUUUGUUAUUAAAUGUAAAUAGCCAGUAUCUGGCUUCCGCUGUUGUACAGUUCCAGUUAUUUUUAGCUCGUUUUGCUGCCUGACAUUGCAAAAACCAGUACUGUAUUGCAGAGAUUCUCAACUCUGGCCCUCGGGAUCCACUUUCCUGCAGAGUUGAGCUCCAACCCUGAUCAAACUCACCUGCCUGUGACUUUCUAGAGAUCCUGGAGACCUUGAUGAACCUGUUCAGGUGUGUUCAAUGAGGGCUGGAGCUCAACUCUGCAGGAAGUGCACCUCGAGGGUCAGCGUUCAGAAACAACUGCUGUAUUGCUUGCCAUGUUAUUUUAAUGUAUUGUCAUAAUUAUAAAACACCGGUCUGUAGUGUGAAUAUCUUUACCGUUUACAGCACUCUAAUCAUAUUUAUUUCCAUAUAGAAGCUAAUGAAAAUAAAGAAUUGCACAUUCACAGAAAAUUGCUUAAUUCCGUGUUGCAAAAUAAUGUGGAUAUAUCUCUGUCUAUUUUCGUACCCCUCCAUACUGUUUACUGUACAUGCAUUCAUUACUCAUCUUUUCAGUCUAUUCUAAAAGAAUGCAGCAACUAUUUUGUUUGUACGACUGAGUUAUGCAAAACUAAUCUGCAUAAUUUUUAUCCAUUCUCAAACCACUUGUCAUGUGUGAGUUCAUGGUGGUGCUGGAGCUUACAACAGAACCUCGAAGGAUUGAGACAAUCUGAACAGACAGCGCUCCAUUACAGGACUCAUGCACUCACAGAGAUAUACGCAUAUUCAUGCCAUUCAUUUUUAUAUAAUACACUGUGAAAGAGCAUUUCUGUCAUUUAUGGCUCAGAUGACUGGCCUUAAUUAAUUGUAAU
ensembl:lncRNA